AGUGAACGCUGGCGGUAGGCCUAACACAUGCAAGUCGAACGGCAGCACAGUAAGAGCUUGCUCUUACGGGUGGCGAGUGGCGGACGGGUGAGGAAUACAUCGGAAUCUACUUUUUCGUGGGGGAUAACGUAGGGAAACUUACGCUAAUACCGCAUACGACCUACGGGUGAAAGCAGGGGAUCUUCGGACCUUGCGCGAUUGAAUGAGCCGAUGUCGGAUUAGCUAGUUGGCGGGGUAAAGGCCCACCAAGGCGACGAUCCGUAGCUGGUCUGAGAGGAUGAUCAGCCACACUGGAACUGGGACACGGUCCAGACUCCUACGGGAGGCAGCAGUGGGGAAUAUUGGACAAUGGGCGCAAGCAUGAUCCAGCCAUACCGCGUGGGUGAAGAAGGCCUUCGGGUUGUAAAGCCCUUUUGUUGGGAAAGAAAAGCAGCAGGUUAAUACCCCGCUGUUCUGACGGUACCCAAAGAAUAAGCACCGGCUAACUUCGUG
rnacentral:rRNA from 1 species